rnacentral:misc_RNA from 1 species
GGCUACUUUUCUAGCUUCACUGGGUAUUCAUAUCUUCUCAAUUACAGUGGUCGGUUCACUCAAAGAAUCUGUAAAGGGAUUUUUGUUUCGUGAUGUCUGACACCAACCCCUUUCCCUUGCCUUCAGAUCAAGUUGAGGAUUUCAGUCACAGUGGCUAUGUCUCACCUCUCUCAAUAAGUGGUCAACAGAAUGAGGAAUUUCCUCAGGAUGGCCAAUUUGUGCAGAGUGAUCAAUUUGUGCAGAGUGAUGUCCCUAAUGAAAGUGAUGCCGGCGCGCAUCAGGUGGAGGAUAAUAACUUGCUUUGGCCAGUUCUACCUGG